CAUGCGCUUGUAGUCGUGCAUCUUCCAGUGAGGGAAUUAAGGACGGCACGUUGUCCUUGUAACGGGGAUCCAGCAGGCUGGCAACCCAGUAAUCAGCACAAGUUAGAAUGUGGGCAACUCGGCAGUCGUUGCGCAGGCACUUUGGUGACUCUAGAUAACCUCCCGCCGAUCGCACGUCCCCGUGACGGCGACGACACAUUCAGAUGUCUGCCCUAUCAACUUUCGAUGGUACUUUCUGCGCCUACCUCGGUGACCACGAGUAACAGGGAAUCAGGGUUCGAUUCCGGAGAGGGAGCCUGAGAAAGGCUACCACAUCCAAGGAAGGCAGCAGGCGCGCAAAUUACCCACUCCAGACGCGGGGAUGUAGUGACAUG